rnacentral:rRNA from 1 species
AACGAACGCUGGCGGCAUGCCUAACACAUGCAAGUCGAACGAAGGCUUCGGCCUUAGUGGCGCACGGGUGCGUAACGCGUGGGAAUCUGCCCUUGGGUUCGGAAUAACUCAGAGAAAUUUGAGCUAAUACCGGAUGAUGACGUAAGUCCAAAGAUUUAUCGCCCAAGGAUGAGCCCGCGUAAGAUUAGCUAGUUGGUGGGGUAAAGGCCUACCAAGGCGACGAUCUUUAGCUGGUCUGAGAGGAUGAUCAGCCACACUGGGACUGAGACACGGCCCAGACUCCUACGGGAGGCAGCAGUGGGGAAUAUUGCGCAAUGGGGGAAACCCUGACGCAGCCACGCCGCGUGGGUGAUGAAGGCCUCGGUUGUAAG